UUGCCUCAUAUGCUCGUUCGCUAAUUAGUUGCAUCAACACUGAGCAGGUGACAUCAUGCAAGUUGUGGCGUUAAGUAGGAGAGUCAUUCAAACCUCCAAAGACAUGCACAACCGUUUCAUGGACUUUCCGUAACUUCUAUGAGAAGAGAGAGCAUGAUUGAUAAAAAGACUUGCAAAAAUCAAAGAGGAGCAGGGACAGAUUGACGAGGCUGUUGGUUUGAUGUAAGAAGUUGGUAUGCUUUGAUUGAAUACGAGAAGUUUGAAGAAGAUCAGGCUACAAUAAAAGAUAUGGAUGGAGCUGAGCUUUAUAAACAAAUCAUGAGUGUUGAUUGGGCAUUUAGUAGUGGCCCUGCUAAACGCAGACAUACUCGGAAAUGGUCACCACCAAGAGCUCAUUCAAGGACCCCACCCAGGAGAAGGCACUGAUGUUUUCCCAGCACCUCGUGAAUUACUUGCUAUGUGUGAUAUACAACAAGAAGUCUAAGGAUUCAAAAUAUUACCUUGGUGUAUGUGGAUCACCUGAUUUCGAUGGUGGUUAUUAAAUUGCCUGUUGUUUCCUUAUUUGGGACUCUAAAUAUUAACUUUGAACUCUGGUUUAAGUUGAUGAGACAUGGAGGUGCACUUAGACCCUUACCAUUAUGUUUGGCAUGUCAGUUGGAGAUGAUUGUAAGUCAGUCCACGUCACGUCCGAACUUGUGAU